CACUUCCUCAUAUGGCACAUUUUGCAAAAUGGAGCUUGUCAUACUUCUCUGUGCUGUUUCUCUGCUGCAUUCAUGUGAAGCACAAGAGCCCAGUGCUGAGACUCCUGUGUUUGUGCAGAAAGGAGAGGAUGUCCUUCUGAAUGUCACAAUAGCUGAUGUUCCUGAAGAAGAUUCUGUUAUCCCGAGAUUCAAUAAAACAGUUAAUUUAGUACGAUUUUUACCUGGUAGAGGACCAAAAGUCUCUGAUUACUCUGGAAGGGUUGAGUUGCUUGAGAAAUACUCUGUGAAAUUGAAGAAUCUACAAGAGGCAGACAGUGGAGUUUAUACUGUAGUAGUGUCUGGGGAUGAAGAAAAACAAAUAACUGGAUAUAAGAUCACAGUCUAAGAUCCAGUGUCUCCAGUUAAUCUGUCAGUGGACUCUGUGUCUAACAGCUCAGACUGGUGUAACCUGACAGUGAGCUGCAGAGCACAGGACUCUCACAUUAACAGCACCUUUAGAUGUGACACCCACACCUGCAGUCAGGAGGGAGGAGAGAGACCACAGGUCACACCCUCUGCUGCUGAUCUCCAUGUCUACCUGUCCAAUGGCUCCAUCAUCUGUAACCAUAGCAACCAGGUCAGCUGGAAAAAGGACAUGAAAACAAUUAAAAAUGUCUGCUCCCGACAUGCUGUUCAUGAACCUUCCACCAAUGCCACCUCUGUCGCUGCUCGUAUUGGCAUAGGUAUCUCUCUCUUCCUCCUAUGUGUUGCAGCAGCAGCAUUUUGUUAUCA